GUCUAUGGCCACACCUCCCUGAACACUCCAGAUCUCAUCUGAUCUCGGAAGCUAAGCAGGGUUGGGCCUGGUUAGUACUUGGAUGGGAGAUUUCUCAAGAAACAAUAGUCUCAUUUGGCA
ensembl:rRNA 5S_rRNA 5S ribosomal RNA